CAGUAGCCGCGGUAAUACGUAGGGUGCAAGCGUUAAUCGGAAUUACUGGGCGUAAAGCGUGCGCAGGCGGUUUUGUAAGACAGAGGUGAAAUCCCCGGGCUCAACCUGGGAACUGCAUUUGAAACUGUCAGGCUGGAGUCUUGUAGAGGGGGGUAGAAUUCCAGGUGUAGCGGUGAAAUGCGUAGAGAUCUGGAGGAAUACCGGUGGCGAAGGCUGCCCCCUGGACAAAGACUGACGCUCAGGUGCGAAAGCGUGGGGAGCAAACAGGAUUAGAUACCCGUGUAGUCCCUGUCUCUUAUAA
rnacentral:rRNA from 1 species